CCUACGGGAGGCAGCAGUGAGGAAUAUUGGACAAUGGGCGCAAGCCUGAUCCAGCCAUGCCGCGUGCAGGAAGACGGUCCUAUGGAUUGUAAACUGCUUUUGUACAGGAAGAAACACUCCCUCGUGAGGGAGCUUGACGGUACUGUAAGAAUAAGGAUCGGCUAACUCCGUGCCAGCAGCCGCGGUAAUACGGAGGAUCCAAGCGUUAUCCGGAAUCAUUGGGUUUAAAGGGUCCGUAGGCGGUUUAAUAAGUCAGUGGUGAAAUCUGGUCGCUCAACGAUCAAACGGCCAUUGAUACUGUUAGACUUGAAUUAUUAGGAAGUAACUAGAAUAUGUAGUGUAGCGGUGAAAUGCUUAGAUAUUACAUGGAAUACCAAUUGCGAAGGCAGGUUACUACUAAUGGAUUGACGCUGAUGGACGAAAGCGUGGGGAGCGAACAGGAUUAGAUACCCUGGUAGUCCACGCCGUAAACGAUGGAUACUAGCUGUUCGGAGCAAUCUGAGUGGCUAAGCGAAAGUGAUAAGUAUCCCACCUGGGGAGUACGUUCGCAAGAAUGAAACCUNAAAGGAUUGACGNUGNGAGNGCGAGACGACGACGAGGGAGGAGG
rnacentral:rRNA from 1 species